GAUGAACGCUAGCUACAGGCUUAACACAUGCAAGUCGCGGGGCAGCAUGGGGGUUGCUUGCAAUCCCCGAUGGCGACCGGCGCACGGGUGAGUAACGCGUAUUCAACCUGCCCUUCACCACGGGAUAACCCGGCGAAAGUCGGACUAAUACCGUAUGUUGUCCAUUGACGGCAUCCGAUUUGGACGAAAGGCUUGGCGGUGAGGGAUGGGGAUGCGUCCGAUUAGCCAGACGGCGGGGUAACGGCCCACCGUGGCUACGAUCGGUAGGGGUUCUGAGAGGAAGGUACCCCACACUGGAACUGAGACACGGUCCAGACUCCUACGGGAGGCAGCAGUGAGGAAUAUUGGUCAAUGGGCGUAAGCCUGAACCAGCCAAGUAGCGUGCAGGAUGACGGCCCUAUGGGUUGUAAACUGCUUUUAUGCGGGGAUAAAGUGGCCCACGUGUGGGCUUUUGCAGGUACCGCAUGAAUAAGGACCGGCUAAUUCCGUG
rnacentral:rRNA from 1 species